CAUAGCAGGGGGGUUGAAACUCGAUGAUCUUUGAGGUCCUUUUCAACCCAGGCCAUUCUAUGAUUCUAUGAUUCUAUGACUCUAUGCCUGAGGGUGGCUUUGCUGCCCCAGGGAAAACAGCCACAAGAUGGAGGCCACUGGGCCCCAGAGAGCCACCCUGCACAGGAUGGAGCCUGGGAUGCUGUGGGGAAACCACGGGUGGAGGAGGGGCUGAGGCUGCCCCUAUGAAAUUAGUGGAGCUGGGCUUUGGCCCAGUGCUGGAGUCUGACUCAUCCAAUUUGCAAACGAACUGCUGAGAACACAUCUUUAAAUCUAAAAGCCUGUUUUUUAAGAGUGUCCUUUCAACACAUCUUGGAUUUUACUGCACCCUAAGCAUUGUCAGCAAAAGGGUUUUUUCUUUCUGCAUCCCAGGUGUGAAGGGAAGGGUAGGGGAGCUGAAGAGCUCCACGGAGACACUGUGGGUGUAUGAAAGCAACCAGCAGGAGAUGAACCUUAGAGGUGAACCUCCCCUUCCCAGCAGAAACCAUGUUCUCUUUCCAGUUUUAUGAGCUUGUUUCUCUCCUUCAGUGUGGGCAAAGCUGAAGUCUAUGGAGACUGGCUGAUUGUAGAAAGCCUAACAUCCCUGGUGUCAGGCAGGCUAUGGGAUUUCAGCUAGCAAGGCUCUAUGUCCCAGACUUUGGUAGUGCCCGAUGUGCUGUAGGGCUGCUGGGUCUGGACCUCAGGUCUCUCAGCUGGGUGACCAUAUCACCCUCAAGCCCUGCAUCCAUACUUCAGCUCUGUGUGGAUACCUGCUGGAAGAAAAGAUUUGGCAAUACGUUUAUUUAUUUAACAGACUUCCUAGAGAGGUGCUCGAUGCUCCAUGCCUGUCAGUGUUCAAAAGGCUAACGCCCUCUCAAUAACAUGCUUUAACCUUUGAUUAGCCCUGAAAUGAUCAGGUAGUUGGACUCGGUGGUCUUUGAAGGUACCUUCCAGCUGAACUAUUCUACUCUACUCUACUCUACUCUACUCUACUCUACUCUACCCUACCUUACCCUACCCUACUCUACCCUACCCUACCCUGCACUACCUUUUGAGUAUGCCCGGUUUCAGACCUUUGGUUACCAACCAGCUGCCUCCCUAGCCAUGAUUCCCGGGGACAACAUGUGCUGCUGUCUCCCCCAGGAGCACCCAUGGCACCGAUUCACCUGCUGCAGUUACGAGCAAGCCCUGCCUUAGCUGCACCUCAUCCUAACACCACUAAAACUCAUGUUGACAACUUGUACAGUGGGACGAGCCGCAGCCUUGAACAAAGCUGGGUGCCACCAGACGGCAUUGGGUAGGCUGGCAGGUGGUACCAGGCUUGGUUUCCCAAGGCAGAAGCUGUUACGCUUCCUGGACAGCAUCUGAUUUGUUUCUCCAGUUGCACGGAGGAAAAAAUAGCCGAGGUUAAUAUUUUACCAGCAGGCAAUAAAGCUGACCUGGUAUUCAGACAUCUACAUGAGCUGACAGGGCUGUCACCUGGCAGCAGGGCUAUGCUGGCUGUCCCUGUGUGCCCCCAACCCGCUGCAGGCUGCAGCCAGGGCAGUGUCCCACACACGAGCUGGUUAGAGGCAUGCACUGGAAUAAUGUCAGUGGCUCCAGUCCUGGAAUAACUUGCUGAGAGGCUGUAACGUGAUCAUGCCUGAUCUCUUCGUGGUAUGCAUGAACUGUUUUGGUGCUAGAAAGCCUCUGUCUGCUAAACAGACUCAUGGAUUUUGGGGGUUGGUAACAGAUGCCAAAGCUGGCCCUGAUAGAACAGGGCGGAGGGCCACCACUAAGUGGUGAGGCAGGGCAGGAGCUCCCAGGGCUUUAUCUGGGAAGGGCGGUGUGAAUGGGACUGCAGGCAACAUCAGCUGCGAACAGACCCUCCUUUCAUCUAUCUCAGCUUUGAAGUGCAAAAUGAUGUGCUUCUACCUGGGAGGAAGCCUUGGCAUUUUUCUAGUUGAAAGAACCUGUACAACUUUUGGUGUUUCGCAUUUGAAGAGACUAAUGGCAGGGAAGAUUUUAGAAGCAUUUCCUUUCUAAAAGUCGACCCAUACAGCGUGUAGCUAAUGUACAAUAUACCUUUCAGCACGUAGCUAACUACAUCAAGCUGUGCUGCUCUGGAACACAGGGCUGAGGUUUUGGAGCACAGGGAUUUGCGUUGCACUUACUCUUGUGCUGCUGGGAGGUUACAAAAGGGAAGGAGGAGAGGGAGGACCACUUCCCUGACUUCCCCAAAAUAUGAGUCAGAGAUCCAAAGCUUAGACUGUAAACUGUGAUUGCAUCUUCUCUGAAAGGCAGAUCUGGAAACACAGAACAGCUUGGCUGGGAAUAGAGAUGGGCAAAUCAGCAGUGCUGGCAAGGAACGUUUUUUCUUUUCCAGCUCAUGGAGGGACAGAGACUCCAGCAAAAUGGAUGAACCUCGCCAUGGAAACAUACAGGCGUUCCAAAUGCCCUUGAGGUGCCUUGCCUGGCCUUCAGCCACCUCUUCAAAAAGUGUGAGGUCUCCAUAGGCCACAGAAUCACAGAAUAAUAAAAUAAUUCAGCUUGGAUGGGACAUCCAUAGAUCCCUGUCCAACCCUCUAAGCAGGGCCAUCUAGCACACAGCUCAGGGCCUCGCACAGUGUUGAGUAUCUCCAAGGAUGGAGACUCCACAUUGUCUCUGGGGAACUUGCUCCAGCACUUAACCAUUUGCUUGGUAAAAACCAUUUUUUUUCCCAUGCACACAGCCAGAGUUUCUCUUGUUCCAGCUUGUGACCGUUGCCUUCUGUCCUGUUGCUGAGCUCCUCUGAGUCAUGGAUGUUGCAAAUACAGCAGGGCAUUGAUGACAGCCUAUAUUUGGGCAAUCCAAUUCUACUCGGGGUUUAUUUUACUCAAUGAACAUGCAACUUGUCUGCACAGGGGGGAGAAAAUAGCAUCUGCCCCAGCUUCUGACCCGUGAAAACAACUGGACAAAAUGAUGACAUUUGCUUAUUUACUUUUCCCACAGGUAAAUGAGCUCACAGCUUUCAGUAGGCUACUGAAUACCUGGUAUUCUUUGCUCAGGAUUAUUCCAAACACUCAUUCGUAUGUCCACCAGUUGUUGUUUGUAGUUUAUAUGGAGCUAGACUAGGACCAAACAGCAAGAGGCUAAAUUCCCAUCAAACAUGAGGAAAAGUUCUUCACCCUCAGGGUGGUGAAGCACUGAGCAGGCUGCUCACAGAGGCUGGGGCUCUCCAUCCCGUCUGAACUUGCCUGGCCCAGGGCAACCUGCUCUGACUUGGCAGCGGGCCCUGCGGGCAGGUAACUGCGAUGAGGCCCAUCCCAUCCAAAUGUUUGGGUUUACCAGGGUGUUGUGUCAGCUGGAGGAACAUAAAGCUGUUGGUCCUGCUGGCAAAGACCAUCCCAGUGAGAGAAGGAGGAAGAAGAAGAGGCUGGAAUGGUCAGAAUGCCCACCUGCGGCCCGGAGGUCAAGCCCCGUGCAGGGCCUUCAGCCUGCCCAAGGGGCUCAGAUUCUUUGGGGUACAGGCCACCAGGCCGCCCUGCCACCUCCAUGGUUUGGGUGUAGCCCUCCAGUUUUGGUGAGGGUCAGAGACCGGAGCUUGUAGAGAGGCAGCCAGGUUGUGUCAGAAAGCCUCUGGGUCAUGCACAAGCCCUGGCCAGCCUUAUUUACCACACAGAUGGAUCCUCUGAGGUUACAUCUGUUUGCAAGGAAGGCUGAAGUCCACUUCUCUGGGUGACAUUGCUGGCUGGGUCCCACACAAGUGACCAGCAUCACACCAGGCCAGUGGGAUCAUGGGCUGUAAAUGCUUGUCUGCCCAUCAUACUGUCAUUGAUUAACAGAUGGAAACAAAGCAGCUUGGCAGAGCAAAUCACCCCUUGAGUAGUUGGCCCUGGAUGAUCUGCUGCUGAGCACACUGAACGUGGUGAACCUGGGGUCGUUGCCCCUGCUUGUAUGGAGAUGCCUGAGCUGUUCAUUACCAUCACACCAAGCAUGACUGUAAAUGACCUUCUGUACCCUUGAUUGUAACUUCUGAGUACAGUAAACACCGCCUGGACAUCGCCUCUGCAAAAAUCUCCCCUUUCUUCCCCUGGGGCUCUUGUCAGCUCCAGGAUGACAGGAAGCAUCUGCAUCAGCUCCCAGCAACACUUCAGUGGUGCUUGCAGACAAAUUCGUAUUUCCCAAAGAUGGGAAGAAGAUUCCCAGAAGAAGGAGGUCAACUGCCUCAGACAGAAGGGCCAUGGAAGAGCCCCUUGGACACUCCCCUUGGCGGACAAUAUGCUGAUGCACGUUAGUGACUUGAUAGCGAGCUCUUGCUUUGUGGGGGCUGCUGAAGGAUGUCCUUGGUGCUUCUGUGCAGUU